rnacentral:rRNA from 1 species
AUUGAACGCUGGCGGCAUGCUUUACACAUGCAAGUCGAACGGCAGCGCGGGCUUCGGCCUGGCGGCGAGUGGCGAACGGGUGAGUAAUGCAUCGGAACGUGCCCAGUAGUGGGGGAUAGCCCGGCGAAAGCCGGAUUAAUACCGCAUACGACCUGAGGGUGAAAGCGGGGGACCGAAAGGCCUCGCGCUAUUGGAGCGGCCGAUGUCGGAUUAGCUAGUUGGUGGGGUAAAGGCUUACCAAGGCGACGAUCCGUAGCUGGUCUGAGAGGACGACCAGCCACACUGGGACUGAGACACGGCCCAGACUCCUACGGGAGGCAGCAGUGGGGAAUUUUGGACAAAGGGGGCAACCCUGAUCCAGUCAUGCCGCGUGCGGGAAGAAGGCCUUCGGGUUGUAAACCGCUUUUGUUCGGGAAGAAAUCCUCUGGGCUAAUACCCCGGGGGGAUGACGGUACCGGAAGAAUAAGCACCGGCUAACUACGUG